UUGUUUGGCUAUGUAUUUAAGAAUGGUUGGAUCAAAGAACAAAAGUUACAAAUGAAUAGGUGAACCAUUAUAAAUUUAUAAUAUACUUCAUAUAUGAACCAACAAUUAAUCACCCUCUUUCUUCCUAUAUGUGUAUAUAUAUACUAUAAUACUAUUACCCCAUGGCUUCAGCUUCAGAGCCUUUUCUAGCUAAAACUAUCCUCCUAAUGGUGGAUGCAUUUCCAAAGAUUGCAGAAAAGAUGGUGAAGGUGAUGACUCCAUGAUUUGUUUUCUCUAACUUCUACACCUUCUUAAUUACGGCACACAGGCUGAAGCCAGGCAACUUAAUUAUUGAUGAAGCCUAUUUUAUCUUCAAUUCAGUUUUGAGAAAUAUUUUACUUAUACAUACAUAUGGUUAGAAUUAAUGUUACUAAUUAAUUGAAGUUUAUAUUCAAAGUUCACUUUAUAUUAUAAAUUAUACAUGCUUUAGUUUUUUUUUUUUUUUUGAAGGAAUUAUACAUGCUUUAGUUAGAUAUUAACAAGCUAUUAGUUAGGAAUUUAGAUGGAAUCAGCUGUAAUAAUAUCAUUUCUUUUAAUUUUUGCCCUUUUUCCUGGGAGC
rnacentral:lncRNA from 1 species